rnacentral:rRNA from 1 species
GAUGAACGCUGGCGGCGUGCCUAAUACAUGCAAGUCGAGCGAACAGACGAGAGUGCUUGCACUCUCUGACGUUAGCGGCGGACGGGUGAGUAACACGUGGGUAACCUACCUAUAAGACUGGGAUAACUUCGGGAAACCGGAGCUAAUACCGGAUAAUAUUUAGCUUCGCAUGAAGCAAUAGUGAAAGACGGUUCUGCCGUCACUUAUAGAUGGACCCGCGGUGUAUUAGCUAGUUGGUGAGGUAACGGCUCACCAAGGCAACGAUACAUAGCCGACCUGAGAGGGUGAUCGGCCACACUGGGACUGAGACACGGCCCAGACUCCUACGGGAGGCAGCAGUAGGGAAUCUUCCGCAAUGGACGAAAGUCUGACGGAGCAAUGCCGCGUGAGCGAAGAAGGUUUUCGGAUCGUAAAACUCUGUCGUAAGGGAAGAACAAGUACGUUAGUAACUGAACGUACCUUGACGGUACCUUACCAGAAAGCCACGGCUAACUACGUG